GGGCCCGCACAAGCAGUGGAGUAUGUGGUUUAAUUCGAAGCAACGCGAAGAACCUUACCAGGUCUUGACAUCCACCGAAUCCUUAAGAGAUUGGGGAGUGCCCUUCGGGGAACGGUGAGACAGGUGGUGCAUGGUUGUCGUCAGCUCGUGUCGUGAGAUGUUGGGUUAAGUCCCGCAACGAGCGCAACCCUUGUUGAUAGUUGCUACGCGAGAGCACUCUAUCGAGACUGCCGUUGACAAAACGGAGGAAGGUGGGGAUGACGUCAAAUCAUCAUGCCCCUUAUGACCUGGGCUACACACGUACUACAAUGGCCGCGAACAGAGGGAAGCGACAUCGCGAGGUGAAGCGAACCCCAAAAAACGGUCUCAGUUCAGAUUGCAGGCUGCAACCCGCCUGCAUGAAGAUGGAAUUGCUAGUAAUCGCGGAUCAGCAUGCCGCGGUGAAUACGUUCCCGGGCCUU
rnacentral:rRNA from 1 species